UUAGAGAAAGACUAUAGAGCACAUAUCAUAUAGUUUAAAAUCCAUUAAAAAAUAUUAACCAAAGAGUUUACACAGUUACAUUAAAAGUUUAAAUAAUUUUGAGCAAUAUGGCUGAAUUAAUAUGGCAAAGAGACUUUUGUUAUGGAAUAAUGAGAAUAUAAAUUUAACAAAAAUUAUGGAUUAUUCUCUUUUAACUUGAUCAGUUUUAUGAAGAAUAAAAACAAAGUUUAAAGAAAAGCUUAUACUCAAAAUGGCAAUUUAAAAACAAACGCAAUUUUUUAGUAAAAUUACAAGAAAAGAGUAUAAACGCUUGUUGUUAUUGUUACCGUAUAGAUUUUAAAAUAUUAUUUGUGAUUUAAUAAAUACUUUUUGUAUCAAUGAAUUUUGUUAAAACUAUAUAUCUUUAAAAUAAAUAACUAAUAUGAGUUUAAAAUUUUAGUUAGUUUAAACAAAAUUUAAUUAAUACAAAAUUAAAAAUGCAAUUUUAUUAGACACGAGCAAUUAUGUCUGAAAAAACUCUGCAUAAAUUAUCCAGAAGCUAAAUGAUUUUAUCGUUUUAAUAAAUUGGUUGCCUGAAUAAAGCUUCGAUCGAAUAAAAACGAUGGUUGCGGCUUAAUAGAAAAAAGAUCGAUCGAGAUGACACAAUCAUUAAAGUUUUUAUAAUAUAUAUGUAUAUAUAUUUAAAUAAUAUGUAAAUUUAUUUACAAAAUUUAUAUUUACAUCUCAAUUUAUAAAAUAUGAAACAUAUUUAACAAGAAUUUCUAAUAA